UCUUAUCUCCAUUUGCUUUCAUCCUCUCUCUCCAGCAACCUCCCAUUCCCAUACCAACUUGACGCGUGAGACAUCUGCACGGGGCAGGCGACGAACGAGCCACAGUAUCAUUGCUCUUUCACCGAAGAUCAAAUUUGGGCGUUGUUAAGCUCGGGAGUUCUGAAAGCCUCCUCGGCAGCCGUGCGCGCAGCGACCUGGAGGGGCAACCACUGUCCUCCUCGGCAAGGGGAGGAAGGAAGAAAUGAUGGAAGGAAGGUUCGGCCGCGUGCACCCCGGCCUGGGGCAACUGCUGUUCUCCUCGCCAGAGCGCACGCCGAGGCGUGGAAGAGAUGGAGCCAGAUUUGCCUGCGCCGACGGAGACGAGAGGUGGUGGAGAAGGAGCAGAGAGGAUUAAUGGGCUGGGCUGGGCUGGAUCAUUAUUUGCCUUGUUCCUUGCUUUAUAUUCUGUGUACGACAUCAGAAAUACUUCCAGUCCAUAUUUAUUUUCCGUUCUUUCUCUUUGCGGACGCUAGAAGUAAUAUUUCAUACUGUACAUGAGCUUGUUGCUUUGAUCUCUA